GACGAACGCUGGCGGCGCGCUUAACGCAUGCAAGUCGAACGGAAAGGCCUGCUUUCCCUUGUGGAUUGCGGGUACUCGAGUGGCGAACGGGUGAGUAACACGUGAGUGAUCUGCCCCCAACUUGGGUAUAAGCCUGGGAAACUGGGUCUAAUUCCCGAUAGGACUGCAGGGUGGUGCCUGUGGUGGAAAACGAUUUUCUAGUGGUUGGGGAUGAGCUCGCGGCCUAUCAGCUUGUUGGUGGGGUAAUGGCCUACCAAGGCGGCGACGGGUAGCCGGCCUGAGAGGGUGGACGGCCACAUUGGGACUGGGAUACGGCCCAGACUCCUACGGGAGGCAGCAGUGGGGAAUAUUGCACAAUGGGCGGAAGCCUGAUGCAGCGACGCCGCGUGGGGGAUGACGGCCUUCGGGUUGUAAACUCCUUUCGACCGCGAGGAAGCCACCUGGUUGGAAGGGUGGUGACGGUAGUGGUAGAAGAAGCACCGGCUAACUACGUG
rnacentral:rRNA from 1 species